rnacentral:rRNA from 1 species
CCUACGGGAGGCAGCAGUGGGGGAUAUUGCACAAUGGGGGAAACCCUGAUGCAGCGACGCCGCGUGUGGGAAGACGGUCCUCUGGAUUGUAAACCACUGUCCCCAGGGACGAAGAUGCCGGUACCUGGGGAGGCAGCUCCGGCUAAAUCCGUGCCAGCAGCCUCGGUAAUACGUAGGGAGCGAGCGUUGUCCGGAAUUACUGGGUGUAAAGGGAGCGUAGGCGGGGAUGCAAGUUGGGUGUAAAAACUACCGGCUCAACUGGUAGUCGCACUCAAAACUGCAGCUCUUGAGUGAAGUAGAGGCAGGCGGAAUUCCUGGUGUAGCGGUGAAAUGCGUAGAUAUUAGGAGGAACACCAGUGGCGAAGGCGGCCUGCUGGGCUUUGACUGACGCUGAGGCUCGAAAGUGUGGGGAGCAAACAGGAUUAGAUACCCUGGUAGUC